UACGGAGGGUGCAAGCGUUAUCCGGAUUCACUGGGUUUAAAGGGUGCGUAGGUGGGCUAGUAAGUCAGUGGUGAAAUCUCCGGGCUUAACCCGGAAACUGCCAUUGAUACUAUCAGUCUUGAAUACCGUGGAGGUCAGUAGAAUAUGUCAUGUAGCGGUGAAAUGCUUAGAUAUGACAUAGAAUACCAAUUGCGAAGGCAGCUGGCUACACGAAUAUUGACGCUGAGGCACGAAAGCGUGGGGAUCAAACAGG
rnacentral:rRNA from 1 species